rnacentral:lncRNA from 1 species
CGCGCAGAGUUCAAAAGGAGAGAGAGAGGCCGAACGCGAGGGGGGAGGGAACCCUCAUCGUCGUCGUUCGUGGAGUCUGCGCCAGCACUGUCAUCGCUGUAGCGGAGGAGCGUCCCUGUCUCUGCGAGCUGCCGCCAUCGAAGCUUCUACUUCUGCUUUGCUGCUUCUGCUGUCACGCCGUCGUCCCUCUAGAUAUCGCUGCUUCUGAAUCCCCUGUCACUAGUUCUCUGCUUCUGAAUCCCCUGUCACUGGUUCUCUGCCUCCUCAUUGUGGCUCAACCUCUGUUUAGAUAACUCAAAUGUCUCUUAUUCUGUGAGUUUAAUUGAUUUGGUUUCUAUUUUGAUUUGAAGAAUUUUACAGAUUAGAAGUGCAGAAGGAACCUAACCAUUGCAAUACUCUAACAUUCUUGAUCCAAAUUAUUUUAUUUAUCAUCUACACUCAAUAUUUGUAUAAUGAAAAGUCCUACUGUAUUGUUAAGCUUCUAUUAAUUUGUUAACAAAGUAGAACCCUACUGUUAUAGUUAAGCUUCUACAUGAAUAAGCUUCUUUCAAAGAAAUGGAACAUGGCUCAAAUAUGACUUUUGAUUUAGUCCCUUAACUUAUUAUUUAGUGUUUGUUUUGAGAAAGACUGUGUUGUGUUAGUAAGGGGUUGCUUGGAUUUCUUGGACUUUUUAAUAUUCUUAUUUUAAUUCCAAUUGCCCUCAUACUCAAUUUUACCAAACUGGAACCUUUUCAUACACUUACCCUGAAGCAGCUUGGUCUGAUCAUUGGCAAAGGUCAGUUAUUCAUUAUUAUUAGUAGCUUGACAUUGUGGUUUAGUUCUUUUACUUUCAUAUUCAUUGCAUAGGACAAUAAUUUGUGCAUUUUUUCCUUUGAAUCUACCGCUGCUUGUGCAAUCUGAUGAUGAGAAUUUUUUUUUUAAAGGACGAAUAUAUGGCUAAAUUUUGCAUAGGACAAUAAUUGGUUUCCAUGUUGUGUUGUAAUUGAAACCGCCUAAUCUAAAUAAGUUUGUAUUCCUUGGAAGGCCAGUGUGGAAGGAAGCUUGUGCUACUCUUCAAAAGCUCCUUUCAGGUACAAGUUGCAACCUCAAUUUGUUCUUUUCUUUUACAAGUAGGACAAGGUGAUUUGUGUGGUACAAUAUUGAAGGAAUCUGGGUAGGAAAGAAAGAAAGAAAUAAAAAUAAAAGGAAAAUAAUAAAAUAGAGAAAAAACGUCAUUUAUUAGUUGAGCAAACAAACAUUCUAAUGCCUUAAACGCUACACUGGCUUCUACUUCCAUUAACACUUUCACUGGUUUUGUUGGAUGGAAAUCUUCUUCUUUGUUUCAUGGAAAUCAUCUUCUUUGUUUCCACAUUCUAAUGCCUUAAACGCUACACUUUCACUCCCUUUCAACCCAAAACUGCACUUCUCCGUCACUUGCUCUGCCUCUUUUUCCGGUACCACAGUUUUUUCUUUCUUCUCAUUAUGCUCUUCAUUUUGUUCAAUUUAGCUUCUUUUUCUUUUUUAUUUUUCUUUCAGUUCAUUUAUUUUUUGAAGUGGUAAUGUAGCUACUUUAUCUGUGUGAUAAUAAAGGUGACAUUGCUGGUUCCUAAUAGCAUUCAGUUUUAAUAAAUUUGUUGCUUUAGAUAGUGGUGCAAAUUGUUAUAGGGUUCUAGGAGAGGGUAAUUCAGGUAUUUUUGAGUCAUUGAGAUGAAUCAAUUAAUGGAGAUUGUUGAAUUUGAUUGAUUGAAAGCAUGGAAAAAGAGGGGAAAAAGUUCUGUUAACAAUUAACAUUCAUUUGUAUGUUUUACAGAAAUGAGUAAUACUGUUCAAAUUUGGGAGACUGUUAUAAGCAUUUCUUUCUCUUGAUUACUCUUUCAUUAUCUUGAUUAUACUCAUUUAAGCAAGAGAAAUUCAUGAUUUUUGUGGUGAUUUUGUCUUCAGAUCCUCUGCUGGUGAAGGCUGCUAGAGGAGAACCUGUUAGUCGGCCACCAGCAAGGAUGAUUUUGUCUUCAUGAUAUAUUUGAGCAUUGUUUGUGUAUUGACAUUUGACAAAUCUGUUUGUGGUAUCAAAUUAUCUUCAAAUCUUACAUUUUGUUUGUGAUUUUUUAGUUGGCAUUGAUGCUUAUAUUUGCAAGUUACUCCAAAACUGCUGGUUUAAGUCGAUUUUGAGGAGCAUAGCUAUAUACUUAUUAACAAAUACUUGAACGAAUGAAACUAUAUAAUACUACGUCUUUUCUCUUAGCUUAUUAUGCUAUACUAGUUCAGUUCGUUGUAAUUACUGUGAGGAGCAUAGCUAUAUACUUAUUAUUGCUUAUUAUGCUAUACUAAUUAGUUUAGUGAGAUUGUAUUAUUAUUAGUUAUUAUUGAUGGAUCACGUGAAUUAACCUCAAUUUCUUUUGGGUUAUUAACUCACCUGGUGUGGAACUUCUUAGUUUAUGCAUUUUUAUUUUAACCAAGAGAUUUAUUCUUUCAUGUAGGUAAGUUCUUUCAACCAAAGCACUCUAGCUUUUCAAGCAAAGAACAUGGUCUCUGCUCCCAUCCUUUUCAUUCUUUCUUUUUCUUAAUUCAUAAUUAAGGAAGAUACUAAUAUACUUGAGUUUUUUCUAACUUAGCCUUUGCUCAUUGGGUUCAAGUCAGAACUUUUAUAGCAUGAAGUAUAUACUGUCUUUAAAUUCGCCAGACAAGGUUGGUACAUAACUUUGUGUUUGUCUUUUUAAUGCUUAUUAUUCAGGUAUUCUAAUUUGCCAAAAAUGUUUAUACAGAUAAAGAUCAGAUUUAAGAUUUUUUCUAAUUCUUUAUGUGGAGCAGUUACCAUUAAAGUCAAGAGAGUCCACUCAAGCUGGGUUACCACACCAACUUUGUUGAAGAAAAAUGAAGAAAUUGUCACCUUUAGGCUAUAGUAUUUUUGUAUUUUGAAAAAUGAUGAUGAUAUAAGUAAAAGUAGUUAUGACCUAGACUAGUAUGAUGUUAUUUUGCAAUGAUGAUAUAUUGUGAUUGUGGAUCUUAUAACAAUUUUUAUAAGUCAAAUUUGUUGGUAAAUGUUCAAUUAGUUUUUUUUA